rnacentral:rRNA from 1 species
AUACGGAGGGUGCGAGCGUUAAUCGGAAUUACUGGGCGUAAAGCGUGCGUAGGCGGUUUGCUAAGUCAGAUGUGAAAGCCCCGGGCUUAACCUGGGAACUGCAUUUGAUACUGGCAGACUAGAGUAUGAUAGAGGGGGGUAGUAUUCCUGGUGUAGCGGUGAAAUGCGUAGAUAUCAGGAGGAAUACCAGUGGCGAAGGCGGCCCCCUGGAUCAAUACUGACGCUGAGGUACGGAAGCGUGGGGAGCGAACAGGAUUAGAAACCCCAGUAGUCC